rnacentral:rRNA from 1 species
UACGAACUGUGCGAACGUUAUUCGGAAUCACUGGGCUUAAAGGGUGCGUAGGCGGUUAUCUAAGUCAGGUGUGAAAUCUCUCGGCUCAACCGGGAAACUGCGCUUGAAACUGGGUGACUGGAGUGAUGCAGGGGUGUGUGGAACUUCCGGUGGAGCGGUGAAAUGUGUAGAUAUCGGAAGGAACGCCAGCAGCGAAAGCGGCACACUGGGCAUUUUCUGACGCUGAGGCACGAAAGCUAGGGGAGUGAACGGG